rnacentral:lncRNA from 1 species
GACCCAAUCCUUCGACGACAGGAGGUCCGUGAUAUUGGAAAUGGCGAGAUUGAUGAAUGUAAUUUUGAUUGAGAUGAGAAGAUGUUGCAGAAGAAGUAGCCAUGGAAGAGGCGGAGGAGGAUGAGGUAGCUUGAGCGUUGGAGUUUCGAAAGGGGAGCUUGAAUUUGCCCCGACGGCGACCAUCGGAACCGGAUUUUUCCUCCGUUAAUGCCAUCGGAGAAUCGGAUGUAAGGGGAAGGAUUAAACUGGAUUUGAUUGUGCUGGUUUCAAGUCCGGGUUGGUGUUUUUCGAUUAAGCGGAAGUCAUCAGAAGUGGAGAAGAAGAGGUAAAACGCAGAUAGGAAUAGCGUUUAACACGAUGGCGUUUUGGAUUCGCUUUAGGGUUUGACUGGUUUAAACGCAGCGGUUGCGGUUGCGGUUGUGGGAGUUUGCGGAAGCAGGCGAUUGCGGUUUCAAGCGUUAUUUAGCGUUUUGACCGAUUGGUUAAACGGUUGUAAACGGGUGCGUUUACGGGAGAUUUACGACUCGUUGAUCAGCGGAUACGAUAGCGG